rnacentral:rRNA from 1 species
AUUGAACGCUGGCGGCAGGCCUAACACAUGCAAGUCGAGCGGAUGAAGGGAGCUUGCUCCUGGAUUCAGCGGCGGACGGGUGAGUAAUGCCUAGGAAUCUGCCUGGUAGUGGGGGAUAACGUCCGGAAACGGGCGCUAAUACCGCAUACGUCCUGAGGGAGAAAGUGGGGGAUCUUCGGACCUCACGCUAUCAGAUGAGCCUAGGUCGGAUUAGCUAGUUGGUGGGGUAAAGGCCUACCAAGGCGACGAUCCGUAACUGGUCUGAGAGGAUGAUCAGUCACACUAGAACUGAGACACGGUCCAGACUCCUACGGGAGGCAGCAGUGGGGAAUAUUGGACAGUGGGCGAAAGCCUGAUCCAGCCAUGCCGCGUGUGUGAAGAAGGUCUUCGGAUUGUAAAGCACUUUAAGUUGGGAGGAAGGGCAGUAAGUUAAUACCUUGCUGUUUUGACGUUACCAACAGAAUAAGCACCGGCUAACUUCGUG